ACGACGCCGGCAUCGACGCCGAUCACUUCGAUCGCCCCGCCGUCGAGAUCGAGCGCCGGUCCGAUUUCGUCGGCAAGGACAUGCUCGACGCGCUCCUUGAGUUCGGCAGAGGACAUGGGGUGCUACUUUCUAUUCGCGUGCAUCGCCUCUUCGCAGUCCUGCCGCAACUGUUCAACCAGAUCCCCGGCCCCGGCGAACGUCCGCGUAUCGCGCAGCCGGGCGACAAAUUCCAGCGCCACCACUUGACCAUACAGGUCACCAGUGAAGCCGAUCAAGUGCGCUUCGACUUUGCGGGCCUGUUCGCCGAAGGUCGGGUUGUGACCGACAUUCGCGGCGGCUGGCCAAUCGGUGCCAUCCGCCAACCGUGCCCGGACGGCAUACACGCCGUCGCCUGGCACGAGCGUCAGCGGACAUUCAAGGUUGGCUGUCGGAAAACCGAGCGUCCGCCCGCGUUUCUGGCCCACCCCGACCGAGCCGCGCAUUCGAUACGGCCGGCCCAGCAAAUGGGUGGCUGCCGACACAUCCCCUGCCAAAAGGGCGUCGCGCACCCGGCUGCUCGACACAGUGGCGCCGUCCAGCUGAAAUGGCGGGACGACCGUGAACUGCGCGUUGCAACGCCGGCACCAGUCCUCGAUUGUCUCGUUCGAUCCUUCGCGGCCACGGCCGAAGCGGAAGUUGAAACCUUCGACGACUGCACGCACGCCGAGCCGAUCGCCGAACACGGAGUCGAGAAAUGCGCGAGGGUCCAGGGCGAGCAAUUCCGGAGUCGUCCGCAGGAUCACCACAUCGUCGGCGCCAGCGCUACGCAGCAGCUCCGCACGAUCGGCCGGCGUCGUCAGCAGCGGCAGCAAUCGUUCGGGCGCUAGAAGCGCGAUCGGGUGUGGAUCGAACGUGACGGCGACGGCCGGCCCGUUCACAUGUCGCGCCGAUCGUCGCAACUCCGAGAUCAGCGCCGCAUGUCCGCGAUGCACGCCGU
rnacentral:misc_RNA from 1 species